rnacentral:lncRNA from 1 species
GAGGAUGUGGAUGGGCAUGCAGAAGCAAGAAAGGCCUUCUGGGCUAAGAAGCUGGCCCAGGAAAAGCAGGAUUCCACUGGAGUGAAGCAGAGAAGCCCAGACCGUAUGGCCUGUCUUACAGUUCUCUAAGACUUGACAUCUUCAGCCUGUACUGUCUCAGGUUAAACUGAGGCAUCUAGAGAGGGUCAGUAUCUUGCCCAAGGUUACACAGCUCAUAAG